rnacentral:rRNA from 1 species
UGGGGAAUAUUGCACAAUGGGCGCAAGCCUGAUGCAGCCAUGCCGCGUGUAUGAAGAAGGCCUUCGGGUUGUAAAGUACUUUCAGUCGGGAGGAAGGUGUCAAGGUUAAUAACCUUGGCAAUUGACGUUACCGACAGAAGAAGCACCGGCUAACUCCGUGCCAGCAGCCGCGGUAAUACGGAGGGUGCAAGCGUUAAUCGGAAUUACUGGGCGUAAAGCGCACGCAGGCGGUUGAUUGAGUCAGAUGUGAAAUCCCCGGGCUUAACCCGGGAAUUGCAUCUGAUACUGGUCAGCUAGAGUCUUGUAGAGGGGGGUAGAAUUCCAUGUGUAGCGGUGAAAUGCGUAGAGAUGUGGAAGAAUACCGGUGGCGAAGGCGGCCCCCUGGACAAAGACUGACGCUCAGGUGCGAAAGCGUGGGGAGCAAACAGG